UCGAUUAGCUAGUUGGCAGGGUAACGGCCUACCAAGGCGACGAUCAGUAGCCGGCCUGAGAGGGUGUACGGCCACAUUGGGACUGAGACACGGCCCAAACUCCUACGGGAGGCAGCAG
rnacentral:rRNA from 1 species